rnacentral:rRNA from 1 species
GAUGAACGCUGACAGAAUGCUUAACACAUGCAAGUCGAUUCGAUUUACCUUCGGGUAUUGAGGAUGGCGGACGGGUGAGUAACGCGUAAGGAACUUGCCUCUUGGUCUGGGACAACUGUUGGAAACGACAGCUAAUACCGGAUAUUAUGAGAUUCUCGCAUGGGAAACUUAUGAAAGCUAUAUGCGCCAAGAGAGAGCCUUGCGUUCCAUUAGCUAGUUGGUGGGGUAACGGCCCACCAAGGCGACGAUGGAUAGCCGGCCUGAGAGGGUGAACGGCCACAAGGGGACUGAGACACGGCCCUUACUCCUACGGGAGGCAGCAGUGGGGAAUAUUGGACAAUGGGCCACAAGCCUGAUCCAGCAAUUCUGUGUGCACGAUGAAGGUCUUCGGAUUGUAAAGUGCUUUCAGUUGGGAAGAAGAAAGUGACGGUACCAACAGAAGAAGCGACGGCUAAAUACGUGCCAGCAGCCGCGGUAAUACGUAUGUCGCAAGCGUUAUCCGGAUUUAUUGGGCGUAAAGCGCGUCUAGGCGGAAAAAUAAGUCUGAUGUUAAAAUGCGGGGCUCAACUCCGUAUUGCGUUGGAAACUGUUUUUCUAGAGUACUGGAGAGGUGGGCGGAACUACAAGUGUAGAGGUGAAAUUCGUAGAUAUUUGUAGGAAUGCCGAUGGAGAAGUCAGCUCACUGGACAGAUACUGACGCUAAAGCGCGAAAGCGUGGGGAGCAAACAGGAUUAGAUACCCUGGUAGUCC